UACGUAGGUGGCAAGCGUUGUCCGGAUUUACUGGGCGUAAAGAGCGCGCAGGCGGUCGUUCAAGUCGCGUGUGAAAGCCCCCGGCUCAACUGGGGAGGGUCACGCGAUACUGAUCGACUCGAAGGCAGGAGAGGGUAGUGGAAUUCCCGGUGUAGUGGUGAAAUGCGUAGAGAUGUGGAGGAACACCGAUGGCGAAGGCAGCCUCCUGGGCCAGCACUGACGCUCAUGCACGAAAGCGUGGGGAGCGAACAGG
rnacentral:rRNA from 1 species